AGGAAAGUAAAGAAGGGCGCAUGGCGGAUGCCUUGGCUCUCGGAGGCGAUGAAGGACGUGAUAAGCUGCGAUAAGCCUCGGGUAGGUGCAAAUAACCUUUGAUCCGAGGAUUUCC
rnacentral:rRNA from 1 species